rnacentral:rRNA from 1 species
GUAUCAAUAAGCGGAGGAAAAGAAACCAACAGGGAUUGCCUUAGUAACGGCGAGUGAAGCGGCAACAGCUCAAAUUUGAAAUCUGCCUCUAGGCCGAGUUGUAAUUUGUAGAAGAUGCUUCGGGUGUGGCACCGGUCUAAGUUCCUUGGAACAGGACGUCAUAGAGGGUGAGAAUCCCGUACGGUCGGACACCAAUCCUGUGUAAAGCUCCUUCGACGAGUCGAGUAGUUUGGGAAUGCUGCUCUAAAUGGGGAGGUAAAUCUCUUCUAAAGCUAAAUACCGGCCAGAGACCGAUAGCGCACAAGUA